UGGGGAAUAUUGCACAAUGGGGGAAACCCUGAUGCAGCGACGCCGCGUGAACGAAGAAGGUAUUCGUAUCGUAAAGUUCUGUCCUAUGGGAAGAUAAUGACAGUACCAUAGAAGAAAGCUCCGGCUAAAUACGUGCCAGCAGCCGCGGUAAUACGUAUGGAGCGAGCGUUGUCCGGAAUUAUUGGGCGUAAAGGGUACGCAGGCGGUUUAAUAAGUCGAAUGUUAAAGAUCGGGGCUCAACCCCGUAAAGCAUUGGAAACUGAUAAACUUGAGUAGAGGAGAGGAAAGUGGAAUUCCUAGUGUAGUGGUGAAAUACGUAGAUAUUAGGAGGAAUACCAGUAGCGAAGGCGACUUUCUGGACACAAACUGACGCUGAGGUACGAAAGCGUGGGGAGCAAACAGG
rnacentral:rRNA from 1 species